GAUGAACGCUAGCUACAGGCUUAACACAUGCAAGUCGAGGGGCAGCAUGAUUGAAGCUUGCUUCAAUCGAUGGCGACCGGCGCACGGGUGAGUAACACGUAUCCAACCUGCCGAUAACUCGGGGAUAGCCUUUCGAAAGAAAGAUUAAUACCCGAUAGUAUAGUAUUUCCGCAUGGUUUCACUAUUAAAGAACUUCGGUUAUCGAUGGGGAUGCGUUCCAUUAGAUAGUUGGCGGGGUAACGGCCCACCAAGUCAACGAUGGAUAGGGGUUCUGAGAGGAAGGUCCCCCACAUUGGAACUGAGACACGGUCCAAACUCCUACGGGAGGCAGCAGUGAGGAAUAUUGGUCAAUGGACGAGAGUCUGAACCAGCCAAGUAGCGUGAAGGAUGACUGCCCUAUGGGUGGUAAACUUCUUUUAGACGGGAAUAAAGUGGAGUAUGCAUACUCCUUUGUAUGUACCGUAUGAAUAAGGAUCGGCUAACUCCGUG
rnacentral:rRNA from 1 species